rnacentral:rRNA from 1 species
GAAAGCGAAUAAGGGUGUAUGGUGGAUGCCUUGGAUCUGAUAGGCGAUGAAGGACGUGGUAAGCUGCGAUAAGCCGAGGGGAGCUGCAUACAAGCAUUAAAUCCUCGGAUCUCCGAAUGGGACAACCUAAUACAUUGAAGAUGUAUUAUUCCAAUGAAAGUUGGAAAGCUAACCUCCUGAACUGAAACAUCUAAGUAGGGAGUGGAAAAUAAAACAAACGUGAUUCCCCCAGUAGUGGCGAGCGAAAAGGGAGAAGCCCAAACUUGUCCGACGUGUCGGACGAGGGUUGUAGGACCACAUACGAUAAACAACAUCAAACGAAAUCUUCUGGAAAGUUGAGCCAUAGAGGGUGAAAGCCCCGUACGUGUAAAUUGUUGUGAGUCAGUGGAAUCCUGAGUAGCGCGGGACCAGAGAAAUCCUGUGUGAAUCUGCCGGUACCAUCCGGUAAGGCUAAAUACUCAUCAGAUACCGAUAGUGAACCAGUACCGUAAGGGAAAGGUGAAAAGUACUCCGAACAGGAGAGUGAAAUAGUACCUGAAACCGUACACCUACAAGCGGUCGAAGCCAUUUAUGGUGACGGCGUGCCUUUUGCAUAAUGAGCCUACGAGUUACUCCUCACUGGCAAGGUUAAGUUCUUAAAUAACGGAGCCGUAGCGAAAGCAAGUCCAAAUAGGGCGAAUAGUCAGUGGGGGUAGACGCGAAACUUUGUGAUCUAUCCAUGAGCAGGUUGAAGUCCCGUUAACCCGGGAUGGAGGACCGAACCCAUUAACGUUGAAAAGUUAUGGGAUGACUUGUGGAUAGGGGUGAAAGGCCAAUCAAACUGAGAGAUAGCUCGUUCUCCCCGAAAUGUUUUUAGGAACAGCCUCGGAUAUAGAAGUAUGAUAGAGGUAGAGCUACUGAUUGGGCUAGGGGGCUUCACCGCCUACCAAACCCUGACAAACUCCGAAUGCUAUCAUAUAUCUCCGGGAGUGAGGCUGCGGGCGCUAAGGUCCGUGGCCGAGAGGGAAAUAACCCAGAUUAGCAACUAAGGUCCCUAAUACAUAGUUAAGUUGAUCAAACGAGGUGGGAUUUCUAUAACAGCCAGGAUGUUGGCUUGGAAGCAGCCAUUCAUUUAAAGAGUGCGUAACAGCUCACUGGUCGAGAGAUCCUGCACGGAAAAUAAUCGGGCAUCAAACUAUGAACCGAAGUUCUAAACCUCUGCCUUUGGCAGAGUGUGGUAGGGGAGCAUUCAAAUCUGCAUCGAAGGUGUGGCGCGAGCCAUGCUGGAGCGAUUUGAAAAGAAAAUGUAGGCAUAAGUAACGAUAAUUAAAGUGAAAAACUUUAACGCGAAAAGUCUAAGGUUUCCUGAUCAACGUUAAUCGGAUCAGGGUUAGUCUGGUCCUUAGGAAAACCCGAAAGGGGUAUCUGAUGGAAAGAAGGUUAAUAUUCCUUCACCUGCUAUACAUUAAAAGUGACGCAGGGACGUGGUGGUUGCGUACAGACGGAUGUGCGCCUGAGUGGAGUCUUCGGACAAAGCGAAAUCAUAAAAUCCCUGCCAAGAAAAGCGAGUAUAGCAGCCAGUACCGGAAUCCGACACAGGUAGACGGGAUGAGUAUUCUAACGCGCUCGGGUGAGCCGUGGAGAAGGAACUAGGCAAAUUGACGCUGUAACUUCGGGAUAAAGCGUACCGUCUCUGACGGUCUCAGUAAAUUGGUUCAACCAACUGUUUAACAAAAACACAGGGCCCUGCAAAAACGUAAGUUGACGUAUAGAGCCUGAAACCUGCCCGGUGCUGGAAGGUUAAGGAAGGGUGUUCGGCGCAAGCCAAAGCUCCUGACUGAAGCCCCAGUAAACGGCGGCCGUAACUAUAACGGUCCUAAGGUAGCGAAAUUCCUUGUCGGGUAAGUUCCGAC